UGAGUUUCUUGAAAAGCUAAAGCGUACACACUCUAGCUCCCGUCUGCUCUGAAAAGCCUCGUCCACAACUCCGGCCUUCCCCUACACACCCUUUGUGGGGUUCACUCGUCUCCACCCUGGACAUCAGUCUCUCCACCUAAAGGCGGGCUUAGAGGGAGGACAGACACAGGGGAAGGGACAGGAAAAUAGAAAUAGCCAAUUCGUCCUUAACUCGAACCCCUCGCGGGCCUCACCCCUGCUGUGGGGGCUGAGAUUGGAGAGGAAGUGGGGAGGCUUCACUCGGCCCCUCACUCCCGCGCCCUCAUGCCCCCACCCUUCCCUGCUCCGAGAUACUGCGCGCCCGGUCCCCGCCCGGAGGAGAGCGGCCGCCGGCGGCUCGCUCGCGGGUUAAAGUGGAGAUCCGCCAGCCGCCGGAGCCCAACAGGCAGCUCCUCCGCGGCCCCAGCACGCCGCGAGCCGCUCAGCCCCGAGCCAGGCCCCAGGGCAGCCCCGGAGACCGCGGUGGCCGGAUGCGCGGGCGCGUCACUUCCGGGCGGUGCAGCGGCGGCGGCUUGGAAGAUGGCUGCGCCCUGUGGCUCGGAGCUGCCCGCCAACUCGCCGCUCAAAAUUCCGAAGAUGGAGGUGCUCUCCCCGGCUUCUCCUGGCGACCUGAGCGACGGGAACCCAUCACUGUCCGACCCUUCCACGCCGCGGGGAGCCUCCCCUCUCGGGCCGGGCAGCGCGGCGGGCUCGGGGACCGCGGCGUCCGGGGGUCUCGGGCUGGGGCUGGGGGGCCGCAGCGCUGCCUCGUCCUCGGUCUCCUUCUCGCCCGGCGGCGGCGGCGGCGGCGGCGGCGGCGGUGGUGGCGGGGCUGCGGCGGCCGCUGCCGCCGCUUGCCGGGGCAUGUCGUGGACGCCGGCAGAGACUAACGCGCUCAUCGCUGUGUGGGGCAACGAGCGGCUGGUGGAGGCGCGGUACCAGCAGCUGGAGGGAGCCGGCACGGUAUUCGGCAGCAAGGCCCCCGGGCCGGCCAUGUACGAGCGCGUGUCCCGGGCCCUGGCCGAGCUGGGCUACGAACGGACCCCAUCCCAGUGCCGGGAGCGCAUCAAGGGAAUAUCUAGUUGGAAUGCGUCAUUGUCCAGUUAUGAGAAGGAAAUCUAAAGCAAAGAAAGGAGAUUGAGCCUCUGAAGAAUUUAGAGGAUCAGUUUACCUGUUUUCAGACAGCUGGUUCGAUGCCCAGACCUGAAUGCUGUGCUCCAGCUGUGGCCUCACCGGUGCUGAAUAGAGAGGAAGAGCCACCUUCAUAGCUUACAUGUGAUUCCUCUGCUUAUACAACCCAAUACUGGAUUUACUUACUUUGGCAAGAUAGCUGCAUUGUGCACUGUAUUUAAUGUUACGUGUACUGUAACCCUGGGUCUUUCUCUGCAUUGCUGCCGUCAAACCCUCAAUCCUGCCAAUCUAAAACUCCUGCCUUUGUUUACCUGCCUCCCUCCCCGUAGACUCCUCAUACAUUCAUCCACAAUGAAUGUCAUCUUUUUAUUCUCUGAUUUUCUUUUAAUCUUAAACUCUGGCAAGACUUUCCCUCUGUCCUGUACAUUGUCAGCUGUCAGCCAGCUUUUCCCCUUGCUUUGGUAAUGGAGCACCCAACCCUCAAGCCUUUUCUCUGGUUCUUUUCCAUUUGUAGUCCUGAAAUCCAGGCACUUGAUAUGGUGGAUUGAUAAGCAUUCAUUCACUUGGCGUUUCUGAAUCAGGUACUGGGAACAACUCUGGUGUGGCCCCCUGAAGUUACCCUAUUUAGUUCUGUUUAGAUUUCCUCGACUCCUCAUGACCUCUGUCUGGGUGGAUAGUAUAGUCUUACAGCCCUUCCUCCAGGGAGGAGAGUAAAGUGUGCAAUCAGCUUACCAGAGAUAUUUCUCAUAGUAAAGAGGUUGACUAUUGUCAUUUCACAGAAUAGCCUUUAGUAGUUUUAAGUUUUUCCAGUUAGAGAUUAAAUUGCUAUACAUUUCUGAGACGGGUGAGGUAAAUGAAGCAAGAUUAUGUCAUGUUAAGUAGACCGUGACUCACCAAGAAAGCCAAUUGGUGUAUCUUGUUGGAUUUGGUAGUUGACUCAAAUGGGAGCUGCAGCCUCAUUUUCUUGGACUCUGGAGAAUCAUGAUGCCUGAUUUAGAGAAGAUUUUAGUUGAUUUAUUUAGGAUUGUUGAUGCAGCCACCCAGUCUUUUAAUUAUAUGCUUUGAUUAAGCAUUUAGAGGAUAAUGUAUUGUAUAAUCUUUUCAGUGGGUGGUAAGAAUUGGAAGGUCUCCAAAUGUCCUUUUUUAUCUAUGUCUAAGCUCUCAAGUGAAUUCUAGUGGGUCCUAGGGUAGCAGUUAAGCGGGUGUGUGAAUCGUGCACCUCAAUGCUCCACCCCCACCAUCUUAAUGGAUGUGCCCUGUUUAAACAGACUGUCCUUGAGUUUUUGGUGUUUGUUAGAUUUACAAGGUACUGCUUACCUGUAUUUGUAUCUUGAAGGAGAGAACACUGAUUUGGAAAUCUUUUUAAUGUCAUUUCAGUACAUCGGCACAUUGUAAAUAUGUGUUACAGGUAUGUACUACAACUAGGAGGUGUGCUUAGUUGUCAGAGAUGCUGAUUUCAUUACUCACAAUUACAUAACCAAAAGAAAUUAUAAGCUCAGUUUGGUGGCUUUGAACAAUGUCUUUUCUCUGGUUCCUCCCCAUGUAUAUUAUCAAAAUUUUGUGAAUUUAUUUUUGAUCCAGAGAAUAAAUGUUUACAAAUAUAGAAAGAAAUCGGUAGAUUUGCUUGUGCCUAUCACUUCCUCAUAAGUAUGACACCUUUUUGGAAAGGAAACAUUAAUUUUUUUCCUUGGCUUCUGGUGUAACCCUGGAGACAGAGCCAGUUGACUGACUUUGGUGUUCUGAAUGCUAUUCUGUAGGCAGCCAAUAAGUAGUGAGAGAAGGGUACGCUUUCCAUCUCCAUUUAUGGUCUCAGAAGGGGGAAAGGGACAGGAUUGGGACUCUCUAUUUACAGUUGUUAGGAAUCAAGAGUGGUUGGGUGUUCUUGGAGGCAGAAACUAGACAUUGUAAGAUAAAAAUAAAUUGUCAGGGGCUGUUUGCAAUUCAAAUUCCGAUCUCUGAGGAGGGCAGAGGGUGCUGGGAAAGGGGAGUUUGUGCAAAGUCAAGUGAGAUUUGCAGUGCUUGUCUCUUUCCAUUGGGAGAUUUGACCAUGACACACAUUUUCCAAGUUUACGUUUCUGGAUUCUAGAAAGUUUUGCCUAUGGGGUCAUGAUUCUCUGUUGCAAAAAGAAAGCUGAGAUGAUUUUUAAAGAGUUUAUGGGAAGCCUUGGUUCUCUGUAAGGUAUCAUUUGAGGUAGUAAGAGAGAUGCUAUGGAAGGGAGAUGCUUUUUUGGGGCGGCCAAGGCUUCAGGGUGGGUGACUGUGUCUGAGGGAGACGAUCAUGUCUCAUGCUUUUAUUACUCUUUUUGGCUAUUUGGAUUUCUGGCCUCAAGGGACAGAUUUAAAAAGUCUUUGUGAAAGUGUCUUGUAGAUUGUCUGCCAGCUUUAGUUUAAAGGUACUGCACUCUCAUGGAGAUGCUCUAAAGACCCAGACUUGGUCAUGUAUUGGCUUAUGGAAUGUAAUCUCUCUGUCUUGAUAAUGCUUAUACAGUAAGUUAGAGAUAAACUAGUUUUAGCGGUUAAGUUAGAGAAUGUUUAGGAGCCACCAGGGAAAGAGGGUUUUAUCUCUCAAAAUUCCUAGUGAAACCCCAUAAAAUAGAAGAGUGAUUAGAAGGAAGAAAGGGAGGCAGAGAAACAUAAGCCUGAAUGUUAUUGGAGAUUUAAGCUGAGACAAAGUCCUUGAUUUAUCUUUUGAUGUAUUAAGUAAGAUAGCAUGAGGUGUGUACCAUUAAAUUUGGGAAACUGGGCUAGUUUGAAAUAUGUAAUAGAAACAAAGACUGUAAAAAGAGUUGAACAAGGCAAUGAUGUUACCCAGGUUUUGUCUUAUAUAAUGGUAUUUAUUUGCUGUGUGUCUAGUGACAGAGGAAGGGUAAGAAAGACUGUUGAUUUGUUUAGUUGGCAGUUUCUGUUGGCAGACGAGUAAAAUGUAGGUAUUAAUGUACUACUUCGUAGUUAUUGUGUCUGAUAUUGGGGACAGGGACUUAGGACAUUAUUGAGUUGCUGUCUGCUUAAACUGUAGAAGUUUUACCAUGACAAAGUGAAUUAAUGAAGAACACAGACCCUGUAAGGGUUCCGUUUUGUUAGCUACUUUGUCUAGGUAACUGGUUUCCCCUGUACUCCUUAGCCAAGGGUAAGGAAGUUUUUCUUCACUUGGGGAAAUUCUUCUUUCUGUCCUCCUUCCCUCACGUUUUCCAAUUCUGGGCACCAUAGCAGCUCUCUCUCCUGUGGCAGGUGUGCAUCCUAUUGGCUGGCUGGUAUUUCUUUUUUUUCCUCCCCCUUACCCUUUUUUAAAUGGGGGAGGGGGCAUAAAAUAUGUGUCUGGGGUACAUGCAAUAAUGUUGUAAUGUUUCUUGUUGUUUUAAUUGAUAAUUGCAAAAUAAUUGUUUGAAUUAUAACAUGUUUGAGUAAAUGCUAAAUUAGUAUUGUUCUAAUAUAAUAAUGAAUUUGAAAUCUAGCAUUCCUGUAAUGAUGUGUCUGUGUUUGUUUGUCUGUGUCUGUCUGAUAGUAAUUAAUAUCUGUGGUCCGUAUCUGGAGGAGGAAGUACAGCUUUAAAGGAAUAACAAAAGACUUUGUGUCUUAGACCCUUCGCAGGUGUUACAGUCGGGUGAAAGAACAUGGUGUUGGGAAAAGAAAGAGCAGUUACACAUUUGAACAGUUGGAACAGGUGUUUGG